ACGCCCUCUCUGCUUGUUCUCCUUCGCUUUCUACUCCAAAGUAACAUUGAUAGUGCAGCAAAAGGGCAAGUUGCAGAAACGAGACAAUUUCUGAUAUUCCAAUAUUCUCUGGCAAGACAAAUUCUGUUAUUGAGAAUUUAGUAUAAAUAAGGCUAUGUAAUAACAAUAAGAUCAAUGAAAAAUACAAUUACCUUCCUCUCUUCUUCUUUUCUGGAGACACCAGCUUUUUCCUUUUGCUUCCCUAUCAAACAACUCCUUCUUACGUCUCUUAUCUUUUUGCUCUAAAGUCGUAUAAAACUCAAGCGCCCCUGCAUUUGUGGACACGAAACAAAGCAAAGAAAGAGAGACUGUGGUUAUGCUUCUCGCUCUUAAAGGCUCUCUCCUCUUUCUCUCUCUACAUCGUGUGUGCCUUUGUUUCUCUCCGCGUUUCAGAUUUUACUCCAUUUCCUUUUUCAUUCGCAAUCGUUCAUGCUUUAGUUUCAUGACUCUUUUAGCUUUUCCUUUACGAUUUCGAUUUUUCACAAUUUUUUGAGUUUUUUAAGUGUUUAUAUUUGACGAAUUGAAUUUAUUUAUCUAAUUCUGAAUGUUUUGGGUUUGUGCCUUGGUUGAGUUUGGUUUUGGUGAUGGAUUUUACGGUUUUGUUAUUAGCUUUGUGAUUAUUUUUGUGCCUUAGGGUUAGUUAAGGCUUGGAGAUAGAUUCUUCUAUGGUGAUCGAGGUUGAAUAACUUCCUGCUUCUGAAGUUUCAGCUUCUCAUCGAAUCGAAGGUGUGCUAUUUUCCUUUUUCUAUCGGUGUUAAUUUUGUUAGGUUUUUAUGUUUAUUUAUUUAUUUCGUUUCAUAUAUAAUUACUGUACAUAAGUGAUUUUUUUUUUUUAAUCUUUAUGCCUUACUCAGUUUUGUGGGAGAACUUUUGUGUUCCCGUUUUUAUUUGUAAGAAUUUUCAUAUCAGAUAUAUACAUUUGUUGUUUAACUUUUUGGUUACUCAAUCAAUGCAAGAGUCAUAGUCACAGUUCGGUUGUUUUGUACCAAAGAUGAGGCAGGGGACACUUGGAAAGAGAUGGCUUAGAACGAAAGACUCAUGCCAAUAAGUUUCUUGUGUAUUUAACUUCAAACUAUUUGUUUCUGAGGGCCCUGUUUAAUUUCAAAAUGCCCUGUUUCCUUGUAUUUAUGAAUUGGAACUAUUUAAUUUUUAAACCCAUUAAUUAAAAUUUUAAGUGGUAUAAUUUUGCUGGUGUCAGAUUAUGUAUUUUGAUAUAGAAGGGAGAUUUGGUGAAUUAAAUUAUUAUAUAUAGUAAUAUAUAUUUGCUAAAAUAUAUAUUUUUCAUACCCAUAAAAUAUUUAAAAUUUGUUUUUAGUUUUUGAAAAUAAAAUUUGUCUACUUUUUAUUCUUAUAAAAUUAUAUUGUGUUACUUUAUUUUACUCACAAAUAAGAUCCAUAAAUCCAAACUUACAUGUAUAAUGUAUCCAAACUUACAUGUAUAAUGUUUGUCCAGUAAAAAUUACACAUAUGUAUGAUGAAAUUCAAAUCUACUUUUUUCUUUUUAAUUCUCUUUCUUUGUUGGAUCCGGCGAUCCCAACCACUCAAUCUCCAUGACCAUGGCCUCUCUUCCUUCUCUCCCUCACCAAACCAUGCCUUCAUCUCCAUGGCCUCCCUCCUCCUUGUAGCCAUUCACUCCAAAAAAUAGGUAAUUCUGGUGUGGAAAUCAAAAUGUUAUGAAAAUUGAAACUAGGGCAACCAUGGAAAACGAUGGUGGGGAGAGUUCGAGUUCGUGGUCAAUAUCAUCGAAAACAAAGCCAAAGAGGUUUACAACUUCCAUUCUUUAGUGCUGAGAUGACUAAUGGUACUACUAGGGAUGAUUGGAAGUUUGGACAUGCAUGGAGUACUUAAGAUGACAAAAUUAGAGUUUAGAUAUGAGAUCACAUACAUGACAAGGCACAUUUUAAUCUCAUGGACUAUUUAUCAUAAUGGUAAAGCUGGAUAUAGUAAGAUGCUUGUUGGUUGAAUGAUAACAUCCCCUAUCAGUAGAAUGAUAACCAAACACUGUAUAUUCUUGCUCAAUGCACACGGAUCUAUCAACCAAUACUUGCAUUGGGUGCCUAAAUGAUGUGAUUACAAUUCCAUGGUCCAGUUUGGGAAGCUUAGGUGGACGAGUUUUGUAUCCUACCUGUAUUCUCCGCUUUGUAUGUUUCUAUUUUUAACAUGAAUAACUAGCUAUUUUUUUAGGAUAUUCUUAUUGAUGGGAGACCUAUAGCUGUAAAGAGGCUCUCAAGAAAUUCCAAGCAAGGUGUAGAGGAGUUAAAAGAUGAUGAUGUUCUGCUAACAGGCGAGCUUCGACAUAGAAAUCUAAUGAUAUUUAUAGUAUAUGAUUUUAUCUGGACGAACAAGAAAAAAAUACUUAUUUAUAUGCCAAAUAGGAAUUCGGACUAUUUCUUAUUUGGUUUGAUGCGUUUGAUCUCUCUUUAUUUUUAUUUAUUUUUACUUUAAUAUUCAUAGACUAUGUAUUUAUGACAUUUAAUGUAUUAAUUACAUAUAAACAAAUUUAAGUGAUUGAUUACAAAA